AUGAAUAAUUUCCAAAAACGACCCAAAAGGAAGCGAAGAAAGAGCAAAGAGAAGCAGAACCAAAGAAAAAAGGCAAAGGACAAAAGGACCAAAAACAUUUUUUGUGUGUUUUUAGUAAGCCAUGGGAAACAAGAAAAAAGCAAGCCAACAAAGAAUUAUUUUGGGAUUUCUCAUACUUCAGCAAACAAAACCAAAGAAACAAGAAAGAUAAAAUGUUUUUGUUGUUUUCUGAAUGACAAGAAGUGCGCUAAAAAGACCGAGAGAAGAAUGAAUAAAAUAUUUUUGGAGUUUUCCUUUUAA
rnacentral:rRNA from 1 species